ACGCAUUUCCAAGCCUCUGACCUC
rnacentral:siRNA from 1 species